rnacentral:tRNA from 1 species
GUGUCCAGGGAUGGGAAUCGAACCCACAGUGUUCCGCUUACCGGGCAGAUGCCAUGUCCACUAGACUGA